rnacentral:lncRNA from 1 species
GCACGGACGCAGGGCGCAUGCGCCCGCGCCCCCCCACCCCCAGCUCCGCGGUCCUCCAGGCAGCCUGCGCCCCUCGCGCCGCGCCCGUGGAGCUCCCGGGCCCGGCUGCCCCGCUCCCGCCCCAGCGCCAUCCCUCCUGGCUGGGGCCGCGCGGGAGGCAAGGACUCCGCGGGCUGGUGUGCCGGGGGUCCGGCGCCGCGGGCCACCCACGCCCCCAGCCAGCAACUCGGCGCGGACGGCCCCGAGGCCGUGGCGCAGGACACGCGGCGGCGCCUCGGGCCCCCGACGGCGCUGUGGCCCCGAGCGGAACGGCCCGGAAGAGGAGACGCGUCCCCGGGAACCCAGUGCCCGCCCUGGCCCAGCCCCGAUCCAGCCUGCGCCUCACCUCGGGUUGUAGACAGAGCGGCGGGGAUCCCAGAGGGGUUCGCGGGUCGGACCUGGAGUACCGGCCCGGCGAAGCGCGCCGCUGUCGCCCGCACGUGACUGGCUCGGACAAGAUGGCAUGAGCGGAGAAGCGGCCGGAUCCCAGAUGCGCGCGUGCCGCCGCCGCGGGCACUGCGCCCGUUUGCCUGCCCCUCGUCGGGGAUCGGGCGCUCCCUCUGAGACCUGAAAGGGCACCCAAGUGCCCCCUGUCUGCGAAGUCCGGCGCGGGCCCUUCGGCGCCCCCGAUGUCUCUAGGCUUCCGCAGGAGGCGCCCUGUAAAUCUUGAGUCUUCCUGCAGCGAGGGGGCACAGGACAGCUGCGAAUUGGGACGAACGAGCCCAGAGCCCCGGGAAGGAUCAGAACCUCGAAGGCGGCUUCAAGUCGGCCCCGCAGCCCGAGGUGACCGUGGGCGGUUACGUUGCCCGAGCUCGCCCCCUCCUCCUGAGCGCAGGUGCCCGUGGGACAUACACCCGCCCACCUGCUCCGGAAAGUUCCCUCCAGAAGGGAGUUCCCGCGCCACCGAGACCCGGGAGCUCCCGAUCAGACUCCCAGGCCGUGAAAGGCGUUAUCGGACAGGGCCCAGAGGCGCCCCCACAGCAAGAAGAAAGUCUGGGGUUCUCACCGUGUGCCAGGUGCGAGCUCAAGCCACCUCCCUCAACCGCUCUGAGAAAUAUCCCACUUCACAAACUUGCUCAAAGUCACGCUGCUGGCUGGAUUUGAAUCCAGAUUUUUUUUAGCACCACUGAAAAAACAAUAUGACAACCGGAGAAAGAAAAAUCUAAAAAGAAUACAGUAAUCCAUAUUGUUACAAAGAAAUGCAACUUUUCACGACAUGAAACAUAUAUAUACUGUGUAUAGUUGCAACCACACUUUUUUUGUUACUACUUUCACUACCAUUUUUAUUUGUUCACGAUUCAUUUUUAAGGUGUGCAGGUGUCCUUAACUAUUCACUCAGCCCCCUAAUGUUUUUGGUUCUUUACGGUUGUUUGCUAACGUAUCCUUGAAUUCUGCACUUGGGACAAAUACCUGGGAGUGGAAAGGCUCCCAGGUAGAAGGCUAUGAAUGGCCAAGUGGUCUUGGCUUACAGCGUCAUAUUUUUCCCAAGAGCUGCCCCAAUUAUUCUACCGCCUCCAAGGAACAAGUGUAAGGAGUUUAACACACUUAUAAACAUUGAGUGCCAUUUCCCCCCUACUUUAAUAGUCUAUUGCUAGUUCAAGGUUACUUAGCAUUUCUUAGGUGACACAACAUUCAAAAAUGAAUGUUUUUCCAUGCAUUUACUAUAUGCAUUCCCUCUCCUGUGAAUAAUCUAUUCAUAUCCAUCUUCUGGGGACUUGAACCUCUUCUAACUUUGAACAAGCAUUUUUUUAUGUUACAGAUAUUACUUCUUUGUCGUCAUUGAUGCAAAUAUUUUCUAGCCUGUUGUUCUUUCUUGUUUUAUUCUAAUGUUCAGUGUGUCAUUCUAAUGUUUUAAUUGCUUCAGUGCUGACAAAGUGAGCUUUCUGCUGCCCAUCUGAUAGUCUUUUUUCUGCUAGUUUUGUACAAUUUCAUUUCAUAUUUCAUUCUCUGAUGACUAUCCCGAUUUUAUUUUGGCUUAUUUAUUUGGAGUAAAAUAUGGACAUAACUCACUACCACUGUCAUCGGUUGUUAUUAAUUCUGCAGUUACCAUUUA